rnacentral:rRNA from 1 species
CACGCCGUAAACGAUGGGUGCUAGGUGUCUCGGGUAUUGACCCCUGAGGUGCCGUAGCUAACGCGUUAAGCACCCCGCCUGGGAAGUACGGUCGCAAGACUAAAACUCAAAGGAAUUGACGGGGGCCCGCACAAGCAGUGGAGCAUGUGGUUUAAUUCGACGCAACGCGCAGAACCUUACCCGGGCUAGAAAAGUACGGUAGUCGGUGGAAACACUGAUUUGCUCGCAAGAGAGCCGUAAUCCAGGUGC